UGGUUAGUCCCGCAACGAGCGCAACCCCCUAUUGUUAGUUGCCAUCAUUCAGUUGGGCACUCUAGCGAGACUGCCGGUAAUAAACCGGAGGAAGGUGGGGAUGACGUCAAAUCAUCAUGCCCCUUAUGACCUGGGCUACACACGUGCUACAAUGGUUGGUACAACGAGUUGCGAGUCGGUGACGGCGAGCUAAUCUCUUAAAGCCAAUCUCAGUUCGGAUUGUAGGCUGCAACUCGCCUACAUGAAGUCGGAAUCGCUAGUAAUCGCGGAUCAGCACGCCGCGGUGAAUACGUUCCCGGGCCUU
rnacentral:rRNA from 1 species